rnacentral:rRNA from 1 species
AUGGAGGGGGAUAACUACUGGAAACGGUAGCUAAUACCGCAUAACGUCGCAAGACCAAAGAGGGGGACCCUCGGGCCUCUUGCCAUCGGAUGUGCCCAGAUGGGAUUAGCUUGUUGGUGGGGUAACGGCUCACCAAGGCGACGAUCCCUAGCUGGUCUGAGAGGAUGACCAGCCACACUGGAACUGAGACACGGUCCAGACUCCUACGGGAGGCAGCAGUGGGGAAUAUUGCACAAUGGGCGCAAGCCUGAUGCAGCCAUGCCGCAUGUAUGAAGAAGGCCUUCGGGUUGUAAAGUACUUUCAGCGGGGAGGAAGGGAGUAAAGUUAAUACCUUUGCUCAUUGACGUUACCCGCAGAAGAAGCACCGGCUAACUCCGUGCCAGCAGCCGCGGUAAUACGGAGGGUGCAAGCGUUAAUCGGAAUUACUGGGCGUAAAGCGCACGCAGGCGGUUUGUUAAGUCAGAUGUGAAUCCCCGGGCUCAACCUGGGAACUGCAUCUGAUACUGGCAAGCUUGAGUCUCGUAGAGGGGGGUAGAAUUCCAGGUGUAGCGGUGAAAUGCGUAGAGAUCUGGAGGA